CAUCACUCACACACUGCACCCCUCUCUCACACACACUACACCCCUUACACACACACACAGAGCACCCUCACACACACUGCGCAAUAUGCUUUCCUGGCAUUUUUGUCUCCUGGUAUCCCAACUAUGGAGACACCAGAGACAAAUUUCAAGCAAACACAGUGCAAGCAUGUUAUUAAAUUUGCUUGCGCUGUGCAGAACAAAUACAGGGUAUUUUUCUCAUGCCAGAGCUCUUCAGCAGAGCUCUGCGCAUGGUCUACCCUGGAAGAGCAUUGAACCAACAUGCUCACUUUGUGAUGGGGCGUGCU